rnacentral:lncRNA from 1 species
CAAUUAUUAAGGUAGGUAGAGAUUGUCCAUUACAACUUUGCCAAAAAGAUUGUCCUUUACCUCAGCAAUGAUAGUAAUGUCAAUGGAAUCCCCAAAGGGUAAGACACUACUAUUCACAGCAAACAAUUGAAAGCUUUGAAUCUCAGCCAUGACUUUCACCAGAAUUCCCUUGUGCUUCUCGCAGUGAAUCCGAAUCAGCAUCUCUUUCCCUGACACUCUUGCUUGCACUUGUACGGAUGAAUCAGUAGCACCUUCAAUACUCUCAUCACAUGAUGAGUUAUCAUCAUCAUCAUCAUCAUCAUCGAUACUAUGGUCUGGUUUCUUCAGAACAACCACGGACUCUACCUUUGUUUUCUUGUUUUGUUCUUCCAAAACUUCCAAACGCUCUUUAAGCUCUUUCACGUAGAUUAUAGACUCAGCUAAUACAGAAGCCUUGUCCAUCUACCAAAUUUUAUAAACAGUAUUUGAUCAGAAGAUGUUAACAAUUCAUGAAGAAAAUAAAAAUACAAUGAUUUAAGUGCUGUCUAACUAGUGGGGUAAUCAAAAUUGAUUUAUUGUCUGAACACUGACACCAGACACAACAUCGACAGCAACAUGUCAAUAUCACUAAUUAUUCGUAAAAUUGACAUUAUUGAAUGUAAUAAUGUGUAUUAGUGUCGUGUUGGACAUGAUGCGUGUCAAACAUGGAACACGCCUUCAAACAUAAGUGUGAAUGCUCAAAGCUUAGUGUACCUUUUUCAAGUUAGGAACAAGAGCUGCAAGAGCAAUGAAGCUUUGGCUAAGUUUCUCUCUUCGCUUUCUCUCAGCCAUGAUAUGAUCAUCAGCGUUGGCUCGAGACCUUUUGGUUUGAGAGGUUUUUGUUGCAAAGUUUUGAUUUUUGGAUAACCCUAUAGGAUUUUGAGUUGAGACAUGAAUGUUUCUUAUUUGGGGUGGAGACACUAACACUGUUUUGUUUUGUUUUGACUUUGAGAUUAAGGUAGGGGUGAGUCCACAAAAUUGAGGGGUGUUGGUAGCAGGUGAAUUUGGGAGGUUGUCAAAAGACAAAAUCUGAGAGUGCAAAGAUGAGUUAGAUGAUGAUGGAGAAAGUUUUGGUGAAAUGGUUUCAAUGAUGCUGUUGUCACUAAAGAUUGUGUUCAGCUCCAUGGUUGGUCUCUCAAUUUCAAAAUCAAAGUCAAAAGAGUCAAAAUUUGUUUCAUCAGUGAAUGAGUUGGUGAAAGUUGUGGAAUUGGACUCUGAACUCAAACAUUGUUGUUGGGUUUGUUCUUGUGGAAGAAACUCUUCCUCAUCAGCAUCAAGGAAGUUUAGGUUGCAUUCUUCAGGAAAUAAAUUAUACUCAUCCAUUUCCUGCAACAACAAAAAAAUUCAAAUUCAAAUGAUAAAGAAUUUACUUAUAAUCAAUGAUAUGUUAAUUUUCCUUUUAAUUUUUUUACCAAAUCAGAUAGCCAUUUGCUGGUUUCUUCUGAUACGUUCAUUGGUGUGUUGUUGAUUUCCUCCAUUAUGACACUUGUGUAAUGAAGUGUUGCUCCUUCAAACAAGGAAGAGUGAUAAAAUUCACUAUUUUGUACUUUCAAGCUUUGUGCUGAAUUGGAGUCCCCAUUAUUUGAU